CCAUCGGUGGUUCAGUGGUAGAAUGCUCGCCUGCCGCGGUUCGAUUCCCGGCCGAUGCA
rnacentral:tRNA from 1 species